AUUUUGAAACAUUCUAGCUCCAAGGUGGAGGUCAAAUGGCUCUCUGGAAUCAAGCCCAGAAGGGCUUGAACAAGCUGAAUACUCUCCUCUCUCCAUCUGCUGUUGAUGCUGCUGCUGCUGCUGCUUCCUGAGAUGGGUAAAACAAGAAACACAAUAAAUCACUGUAAAAAAAAGGGCAACACAAAGAAAUCGAAAAAGAUCAAUAGGCCUAUA
rnacentral:misc_RNA from 1 species